UACGAAGGGGGCUAGCGUUUUUCGGAAUUACUGGGCGUAAAGCGCACGUAGGCGGAUUAGUAAGUCAGGGGUGAAAUCCCGGGGCUCAACCUCGGAACUGCCUUUGAUACUGCUGAUCUCGAGUCCGGAAGAGGUGAGUGGAAUUCCUAGUGUAGAGGUGAAAUUCGUAGAUAUUAGGAAGAACACCAGUGGCGAAGGCGGCUCACUGGUCCGGUACUGACGCUGAGGUGCGAAAGCGUGUUGAGCAAACAGG
rnacentral:rRNA from 1 species